GGGAACGGUUUAGCUUGCUAGACCAAGUAAAGUGGCGAACGGGUGAGUAACGUAUGGACAAUCUAUCCUUGACUCGGGGACAACAGCUGGAAACGGCUGCUAAUACCCGAUAGCCCCGGUAGGAGGUACUCCGGCCGGGUAAAGGGGGGCAACUUCCGAUCGAGGAGGGGUCCAUAUCCCAUCAGCUUGUUGGCGAGGUAACGGCUCACCAAGGCAAUGACGGGUAGCCGAACUGAGAGGUUGAUCGGCCACAUCGGGACUGAGACACUGCCCGGACUCCUACGGGAGGCUGCAGUCGAGAAUCUUCCGCAAUGGACGAAAGUCUGACGGAGCGACGCCGCGUGAAGGAUGAAGGCCCUCGGGUCGUAAACUUCUGUCACUCGUGAAGAAUGUCUGCAGUAAAGCUGUCGACUGACGUUAGCGAGAGAGGAAGCCACGGCUAACUUCGUGCCAGCAGCCGCGGUAAGACGAAGGUGGCAACCGUUGCUCGGAUUCACUGGGCAUAAAGAGCGCGUAGGUGGCUAGGCAGGUCGACGGUGAAAUCCCACGGCUCAACCGUGGAACUGCCGCCGAAACCGCCUGGCUUGAGGACGGGAGGGGAGAGUGGAACUCUUGGUGUAGCGGUGAAAUGCGUAGAUAUCAAGAGGAACGCCGGUGGCGAAAGCGACUCUCUGGACCGUUCCUGACACUGAGGCGCGAAAGCUAGGGGAGCAAACAGGAUUAGAUACCCUGGUAGUCCUAGCUGUAAACGAUGGGCACUGGGUAGGGGUGGACUGAUGCCUUCCCUGCCGGAGCUAAUGUGUUAAGUGCCCCGCCUGGGGAGUAUGGUCGCAAGGCAA
rnacentral:rRNA from 1 species